AGCGGAGGAAAAGAAACCAACAGGGAUUGCCUUAGUAACGGCGAGUGAAGCGGCAAAAGCUCAAAUUUGAAAUCUGGCACUUUCAGUGUCCGAGUUGUAAUUUGAAGAAGGUAACUCUGGAGUUGGCCCUUGUCUAUGUUCCUUGGAACAGGACGUCACAGAGGGUGAGAAUCCCGUGCGAUGGGGUGUCCAAUUCUAUGUAGAGUGCUUUCGAAGAGUCGAGUUGUUUGGGAAUGCAGCUCUAAGUGGGUGGUAAAUUCCAUCUAAAGCUAAAUAUUGGCGAGAGACCGAUAGCGAACAAGUACAGUGAUGGAAAGAUGAAAAGAACUUUGAAAAGAGAGUGAAAAAGUACGUGAAAUUGUUGAAAGGGAAGGGCUUGAGAUCAGACUCGGUAUUUUGCGAUCCUAUCCUUCGUGGAGAGGUUUCACUUGCAGCUUACCGGGCCAGCAUCGGUUUGGAUGGUAGGAUAAUGACAUUGGAAUGUGGCUUUUCGGAGUGUUAUAGCCUUUGUUGAUACUGCCUAUCUAGACCGAGGACUGCGUCUUUGACUAGGAUGCUGGCAUAAUGAUCUUAAGCCGCCCGUCUU
rnacentral:rRNA from 2 species